GGAGUGAAAGGCUAAUCAAGCCCCGUAAUAGCUGGUUCUCUCCGAAAUAUAUUUAGGUAUAGCGUCAAAUGCUGAUUACCGGGGGUAAAGCACUGAAAAGGCUAGGGUUCACACCAGAAUACCGAACCUUAUCAAACUCUGAAUACCGGUGAGAGAAAUUUGGCAGUCAGUCUGUGGGGGAUAAGCUUCAUAGGCGAAAGGGAAACAGCCCAGACCAUCGAAUAAGGUCCCAAAGCUGAUACUAAGUGGUAAGAAGGAGGUAAAUUUUCUUAGACAAUGGGGAUGUUGGCUUAGAGGCAGCCAUCAUUUAAAAAGUGCGUAAUAGCUUACCCAUCGAGAGAGUUUGCGCCGAAAAUGAUCGGGACUAAAGUAUCACACCGAAUUUGUGGAUUAGAAAUAAUGGUAGGAGAGCGUUCCAACGACAUAGAAGGGUGAGCGGAAGCGAAUCUGGAGUUUUUGGAAGUGAGAAUCUAGGCAUGAGUAACGAUAAGUAUGGUUAAAAUCCAUACCGCCGUAAGGAUAAGGUUUCCUGGGGAAGGUUCGUCCGCCCAGGGUUAGUCGGGAGCUAAGGCGAGGCCGUAAGGAGUAGUCGAUGCACAAUAGGUUAAUAAUCCUAUACUAUAUUAGAGGUGUUUGAAUCGUAUAUUGACGAACGAGUGAAUGUCAUCCGGGUGAUGAACGUCCCGGUCUAAGGCAAUGGAAGUUGCCGGGGACCUUGAAGCUACGGCCGAGAGGGAUUGACAGUGGCUAGUUCCGGGAAAAUUUAUACGGCUAAUUUCUAAUAUACCCGUACCGCAAACCGACACAGGUAUCCGGGAUGAGUAUUCUAAGGCGCGUGAGUUAAAUCUCCCCAAGGAACUCGGCAAAAUGGCCCCGUAUCUUCGGUAGAAGGGGUACCAAUAAAAUGGUCUCAGUAAAGAGGCCCAACCGACUGUUUAUCAAAAACACAGCUCUCUGCCAAGUCGCAAGACGACGUAUAGGGAGUGACACGUGACCAAUGCGGAAAGGUGAAAGCUGGUUGUGCAAGCUUCUGGUCUAAGCCCCCGUGAAUGUCGGCCGUAACUAUAACGGUCCUAAGGUAGCGAAAUUCCUUGUCGGGUAAGUUCCGACCUGCACGAAUCGUGUAACGAGUUGGGUGCUGUCUCAGGGAGAAGCUCAGUGAAAUUGUAGUCGCGGUUAAGAUGCCGCGUACCCGCAGAAGGACGGAAAGACCCUAUGAACCUUUACUAUAAUCUGAUAUUGUCGUUUGAUUUUUAAUACGUAGAAUAGCUGGGAGGCUAAGAAAUUGCACUUCAGGGUGUGAAAGAGCCGCAAUGUGAAAUACCAGUUUUUAACUGUUAGACGUCUAACCCUACGCCAUAAGCUGGCUGGGGGACAGUGUUAGAGGGUUAGUUUGACUGGGGCGGUCUCCUCCUAAAAAGUAACGGAGGACUGCGAAGGUUCCCUCAGACCGGUUGGUAAUCGGUCGUCGAGGAUAUGGCUAGAAGGGAGCUUAACUGUGAGACCUACAAGUCGAGCAGAUGGGAAACCAGGCCCAAGUGAUCCGGCGAUAGCUCGUGGGAGCGUCGUCGCUUAUGGGAUAAAAGGUACUCUAGGGAUAACAGGCUGAUUUCACCCAAGCGUUCAUAGCGACGGUGAAGUUUGGCACCUCGAUGUCGGCUCAUCACAUCCUGGGGCUGCAGAAGGUCCCAAGGGUUUGGCUGUUCGCCAAUUAAAGUGGUACGCGAGCUGGGUUCAGAACGUCGUGAGACAGUUCGGUCCUCUAUCCUCUGUGGGCGUAGGAAAUUUGAGGGGUUCAUUCUCUAGUACGAGAGGACCGGGAAUGACGUACCGCUGGUGUUCCGGUUGUCGUGUCAACGGCAGCGCCGGGUAGCUAAGUACGGAAG
rnacentral:rRNA from 1 species